ACACAGCAUGGUCCACCAGCCAGCUGUUGGCUUAUUGCCACAGCACCAUCUCAUCGGGAGAAGGCGUGUCCCUCGCCCGGAUUGCUCUGUGCGCCCCUUUGUCCUCUGAUGGUGGUAGUGGUGUCGUGGUGGUGCUCAGCCGGCGACACUUAUGGCGGCUGCACACGUCAGGCAGCGCACUGGGUCGGGUGGAACCCGCGCGCAACUCCCGCCCUGUUACUACGAGGGCUACCUGGAGAAGCGAGGACCUAAAGAAAAGGCACCCAAGCGUUUGUGGACAUGUUUGUGUGGGAAUGCAUUGUAUUUCUUUAAUAAUUCCAAGGACACUCACUAUGUAGAGAAACUGGAGCUCAGUGGGUUCGUGUCCUUAAGGGAUGACUGCAGCCGGGACAGAAAUUUGGAAGCUGCCAGACUGAUUCUGCGCAUGAAAGAUGGAGAAACCAAAAUAACAGCACCCAACCUGGAAUCAAGGGAGCUGUGGAAAGGUUUCCUCUACUCUGUCAUAGAUCUGAAUGUACCAUCAAGCCUCACAUUGCUGCCGGGCCAGCUGCAAAUGCUGAAGGAGGUAGUGGAUAAAGAAAGGUCCCGGCGGAGAAGUCGCACUCCCACAAGAGCACCCCCUUCGCCUCUCUCUGUUCCUUUAGUGGGGGAGAUUCCCGCGUGCUUUCGCCCGGUGUCGCGAACUGAGGCCGAAGUCCUCUUGGACAGACACCCAGAUUGUGGCAACAUGCUACUGCGUCCCGGAAGAGAUGGCAGCUCAUUAGCCGUUACCACGCGGCAGGACCUCAAUGGCUCAGUCUUCAGACAUUACCGAGUAACCCAGAGGGACCAGGGUGGCUAUGUGAUUGAUGUGGAGAAUCCAAUUCCCUGUGCAACCCUUCACGAUGUCAUCGAUGCCCUGGUGGAAAAGACAGCUGGCACUCUGCAACCUUUUCUCCUAGAAGAGCCUUAUGAGGAGAAUAUCACUUACGUUUCUGCCAAUGAUGAGAAUGGAGAAAGGAUUCUCCACACCGCCCCCACCAGCCCCCUGCCAAAGGCUCCUGCACUGCCCCCAAAGCAAGUCGGUGCAGAUCGUUGGCCCAGCAGCCCCCCGCCGCGCUCCCCUGCACCGGACCGCCGCAUUCUGACCUCAUCAGUGCCUGCCUCGCCCACCAACCCCAUGAGACGACUCAUUUUAUCACCUUCCCCCCUCGCACAGUGCGGUAUGGUCUUUCCUUUCAAGCUCGGGUCCUCUAUCAGAGGCCUUGGAGCUCAAGGAUUCUGCGCAGGAUCUUAGCUGUCCCUACGACUGCGCUCUUCCCGAACGGAGAUGUCAGACGUUGUUCCAGCUCUCAACGAUGAACUGAAAAUGAAGCUGGAGAAGAGACGAGCCAGUCAGGAGUAAAAAAAAAAAACUUGAAGGGAGCUACACGGAUGCCAAACCCCCUUGUCAUCGCAGCUACGUAUUUAUCCUGUGCCUUGUAGGUGGAAAAACAAAAGGCUGCACACCGCAGCCACCGUCUCAUCAUAGUCAUAGGUGUUGAUGUCAAACUUUUGUUAAGCUCAAGACUGGUGUGGACACACUUGAUACUUGAGCUGCACAAAGUACUGUUUACAAACCCCUAAGCACAUUUUUUUCAAACUAACACACUAACUAAAAAUGUGACUUAUCAGAAUCACCGUGCGAGCCUGGUGCUGUUUUUCUGAGCCAGCUGUUUUUGUGCUCAACUACUAGAGCUGCUAAGAGACAUUUUCAACACACAUUGAUAAGAACGGUAAGUCCAAAAACCUGUGAGCUGAGGAACUUUAUUGUCGUGGUGGGGCCUAUUUUACAACUUCAACUUUGUGUUUCCUUCUUUCUCUGAUACUGUGUGUGAGCAUGUGUGUAUGCAAGCGUAUUACUGUGAUUCAUUAUCAAUUAAACAUGUCUCUUGACAAAGAAAAAAAAC